GGGGAUUCCUCUGAGACACUGACCAGGUCAUGUUGGGGUCAGAUUGGGGCGUGUCUAGUGGCUACAUAUGACCAGGUCAUAGUUGGGGUCAGAAUGGGGCGUGUCUAGUAGCUACAUAUGACCAGGUCAUGUUGGGGUCAGAAUGGGGCGUGUCUAGUGGCUACAUAUGACCAGGUCAUAGUUGGGGUCAGAAUGGGGCGUGUCUAGUAGCUACAUAUGACCAGGUCAUGUUGGGGUCAGAUUGGGGCGUGUCUAGUAGCUACAUAUGACCAGGUCAUGUUGGGGUCAGAAUGGGGCGUGUCUAGUAGCUACAUAUGACCAGGUCAUGUUGGGGUCAGAAUGGGGUGUGUCUAGUAGCUACAUAUGACCAGGUCAUGUUGGGGUCAGAAUGGGGCGUGUCUAGUAGCUACAUAUGACCAGGUCAUAGUUGGGGUCAGAAUGGGGCGUGUCUAGUGGCUACAUAUGACCAGGUCAUGUUGGGGUCAGAAUGGGGCGUGUCUAGUAGCUACAUAUGACCAGGUCAUGUUGGGGUCAGAAUGGGGCGUGUCUAGUGGCUACAUAUGACCAGGUCAUGUUGGGGUCAGAAUGGGGCGUGUCUAGUG
ensembl:lncRNA